CUGAGGUACUGGAAGGUCCUCAGGCCGAAAGGGGCUCUGCCCGCCCGAGGAUGGGCCGGCGGCCGAUUAGGUAGUUGGUGGGGUAACGGCCCACCAAGCCGAAGAUCGGUACGGGCCAUGAGAGUGGGAGCCCGGAGAUGGACACUGAGACACGGGUCCAGGCCCUACGGGGCGCAGCAGGCGCGAAACCUCCGCAAUGCGGGCAACCGCGACGGGGGGACCCCCAGUGCCGUGGCAACGCCACGGCUUUUCCGGAGUGUAAAAAGCUCCGGGAAUAAGGGCUGGGCAAGGCCGGUGGCAGCCGCCGCGGUAAUACCGGCGGCCCGAGUGGUGGCCGCUAUUAUUGGGCCUAAAGCGUCCGUAGCCGGGCCCGCAAGUCCCUGGCGAAAUCCCACGGCUCAACCGUGGGGCUUGCUGGGGAUACUGCGGGCCUUGGGACCGGGAGAGGCCGGGGGUACCCCUGGGGUAGGGGUGAAAUCCUAUAAUCCCAGGGGGACCGCCAGUGGCGAAGGCGCCCGGCUGGAACGGGUCCGACGGUGAGGGACGAAGGCCAGGGGAGCGAACCGGAUUAGAUACCCGGGUAGUCCUGGCUGUAAAGGAUGCGGGCUAGGUGUCGGGCGAGCUUCGAGCUCGCCCGGUGCCGAAGGGAAGCCGUU
rnacentral:rRNA from 1 species